CCCGGUCGUAGCGCAGAGGCAGUCGCACUCGUCUCGCAGGCGAGGGCACGCGGGUUCGAAUCCCGCCACCGGGG
rnacentral:tRNA from 1 species